rnacentral:rRNA from 1 species
GAAGAGAGAGUUCAAGAGUACGUGAAACCGUCUGGGAGUAAACGGGUGGUACCCGAAAGUACGAAAGGGGAGAUUCAGGUCUCGCCGCGCGUCGGGCGGCGGCCGCGACCAGAGAUGGCGUCUUCGCGGCCGGGGGGCAACCCUCGGUCCGGGGNNNGCGCCACUCCGCGGCCGCCGUCACGUCCCGGCGCCGGAGUGACGCACUUCUCCCCCUGUAGGACGUCGCGACCCGUCGAGCGCCGGCCUAAGGCCCCGGGUGGAGCCUGGCAGACCGCUCACGCCGUCUGCGCACGACCCCGGGGAUCCCGGCCGGGUGCCCGACGGUACGAAGCGAGGAAGGAGUCGACGCGCCGCCAGUCGGCGUCCGGCCCUCCGCAAGCGCCUGCGGGAGUCCGGGCUUCCGGGCCCGGCCCGAUCUCGGACCCUCCGCGGGGCUGUUUGCGACGAGGAGGUGCCCUCGGAC